GCGCGAAAACUCUACAAUGCAGGAAAUCUGCGAUAGGGGGACAUCGAGUGGCGUCUACAUUAGACGCCUGUCCAGCCGUCUAAAAAACGGUUGUUAGCAAGGGCCGGGUAAGACCGGUGCCAGCCGCCGCGGUAAUACCGGCGGCUCGAGUGGUGGCCGAUAUUAUUGAGUCUAAAGGGUCCGUAGCCGGCUUCGUAAGUCCCCUGGGAAAUCCAGCGGCUUAACCGUUGGGCGCUCAUGGGAUACUACGAGGCUUGGGACUGGGAGAGGCGAGAGGUACUCGAGGGGUAGGGGUGAAAUCCUGUAAUCCUUCGGGGACCACCGGUGGCGAAGGCGUCUCGCCAGAACAGGUCCGACGGUGAGGGACGAAAGCUAGGGGCACGAACCGGAUUAGAUACCCGGGUAGUCCUAGCCGUAAACGAUGCCCGCUAGGUGUCACGAUAGUCGUGAAUUAUCGUGGUGCCGUAGGGAAGCCGCGAAGCGGGCCACUUGGGAAGUACGACCGCAAGGUUGAAACUUAAAGGAAUUGGCGGGGGAGCACCACAACGGGUGGAGCCUGCGGUUUAAUUGGAUUCAACGCCGGGAAGCUUACCGGGAUCGACAGUUGGAUGAAGGCCAGGCUGAAGACCUUGCCGGACUAGCU
rnacentral:rRNA from 1 species